ACGUCACGAUUAACUUUUGGACCCAGCCAAUAGAUGGCGCUAUUAUUAAGGUGUCUGGCAACAACACCGUACAACCAUCUCACAUAGUUUAGUUGAACCUUUCCUGUCUUGGGGGGAGCAUCUACCGCAGCCACAGUGUUUGUAAACAACCUCUGGUAGGAGAGCACUUGUCACCUGUGCUUAUAAUUAUGGCCAAUUACCACGUUAUUUGUGUAUGGAAAAUAAUAUAUCCAGGAGAUAAGUACUGUCGCCCCAAGUGGUCAUCAAGAGAUGCAAGAGACUCUUAUUUGAUUGAAAAUGGCCAGACUGGUGCAUGCUCUAUGGCACCUCAGUUACCCAGAGAGAUUAGAACACCUACAGCUUAUAUGGUACUUUAGGCAGGCAAGAGGUGACUUAAUUGAGGUUUAUAAACAUCUCAGAGGACAUUCUGGAACCAGUACUUGCCAUCAGUGUGUAACAGAGAUGUGACUGCCGGCCCAAGCGAAGAGGAUAAAAGUAAAAGUUAAGAACAAGACUUUACAAAAUUGAACUACACCAUUACAGCUGAAAAUGACCUCUACUACCACCACCACCACCACAGCAUCACCAUGGCACCACUACCACCACAACACCACUACCACCACCACUAUUACCUAUGGCAAGGUGAAUUAGAGACUAAACCUUAACUAACAACUCGUGCAUGGAGAAACUGCAGUCACAGUGCAGGGCAAAACGGGCGGCAGGCAGGGCAGCACAGCAAAACAGGCGCCAGAGCAGGGCAGCACGGCAGUCCUCUUCAGAAUAAAACCUAUAAAAAAUAAAA